rnacentral:rRNA from 1 species
GAUGAACGCUGGCGGCGUGCCUAAUACAUGCAAGUCGAGCGAACAGACGAGGAGCUUGCUCCUCUGACGUUAGCGGCGGACGGGUGAGUAACACGUGGAUAACCUACCUAUAAGACUGGGAUAACUUCGGGAAACCGGCGCUAAUACCGGAUAAUAUAUUGAACCGCAUGGUUCAAUAGUGAAAGACGGUUUUGCUGUCUCUUAUAGAUGGAUCCGCGCCGCAUUAGCUAGUUGGUAAGGUAACGGCUUACCAAGGCAACGAUGCGUAGCCGACCGGAGAGGGGGGUCGGCCACACUGGAACUGAGACACGGUCCAGACUCCUACGGGAGGCAGCAGUAGGGAAUCUUCCGCAAUGGGCGAAAGCCUGACGGAGCAACGCCGCGUGAGUGAUGAAGGUCUUCGGAUCGUAAAACUCUGUUAUUAGGGAAGAACAAAUGUGUAAGUAACUAUGCACGUCUUGACGGUACCUAAUCAGAAAGCCACGGCUAACUACGUG